AUACUUACCUGGCAGGGGAAAUACCAAUGAUCAUGAAGGUGGUUUUCCCAAGAUGAGGCUUAUCCAUUGCACUCCAAAUGUGCUGACCCCUGUGAUUUCCCCAAGUGUGAGAAACUUGACUGCAUAAUUUGUAGAGGGAGACUGUGUUCGCUUUCUCUCCUA
rfam:Erinaceus europaeus unplaced genomic scaffold scaffold00324, whole genome shotgun sequence